AGAGAAAGCGCUGAAAGAAACGGUGGAAGCCCCCGGCUAAAAAUCGAAGAGGACGCAUAUCGUUGGUCGUCGCGAGCAGAAAAGAGACGGGACCAGGGUUAUUGCUCAAAUGUUGGAGGAGCCAGCGUGUAUACGCGUCGGGUGCGUGAACCGCGGCAUAAAUUAAAUUAGCAUAAUGCCAAGCCACCGAACAACAAAGUAAAAAGCCGCAACAACGUGGGAACCGGCCGAAAACGGGCAUUAUCUUUCAAUUAUCUGGAAGUGUUUCACGGUGUUUCCUUGGGAUGGUAAUCCGCGAGAGAACUUCGAGGAAACAAGCCCGCAACGUUUAUGCGCGUGGCUGGGGAUGGUGGUCAUUAAAGGGGAUGGAACAAACGUUUGUGAUGAUUGUGGGACAGUAGAAUUUGGUCAUACUUCACUUGCGAGGUCUCUUUAAUUCGAUGGUAAAACAAAUCAUCUUAAAUAUGAUAGCAGUUUGAAUCUUGCAUCUCCUUAAAUUAUGUGGCAUCACAUUAUCAGUAGUUGAUACGUCAACGUAAUUAUUUUUAUAUUAUAUUAUAUAUUUAUAUUAUAUAAAGGAAUUGUCAUUCCUUUAGCUCUUGUAAGUGUACAAGGUAAUAUGUAAUUAAUCAACGUACUCAUCAUCUCGAGAACCGUAAUCGUAAUCACUCUUGUCGAGUAGAAGCCAUUCCAGAGACAUAGAAACUGUUUCCACGUCGAGUACAGUAUUUAAUCCCUCUGUUGGGGUACUUACACAUUCGCAAUUUCCACUUUCGAGCAUUAUGCAUAACUCCCGCGAGCUAAGUAUGUUAUUAUACGAGUGUGUUAUUAUGCGGAAAAGGAUUCAUUUCUGCGUGACGACACUCAAAUUUAUACUACCGCAGCGGGCAAAGCGAACUCACCGCAACGAAUAUCGUCUUCAGGGGUUGGGACGGGAAUUCAAGUGUGCAUGGAGACCACCGGCGUGCUCUUUGGGUCUUCUCAAUCGUUGUUUCCGAUGAAAAAACUCAACGAAAAUUAAUACGGCGCGUCGACCGUUCGACUAAAAUCGGCGAAUUAAAAUAUAUUUAAGAGUGGACCGUUCGAAGCAACAUUGGUGAAAAUAUUUACAUAUUCUUCUUUAAAGAUCGUUACCAGGGCGUGCCUUUGCAACAGUUAUUUAUGCUAUUGACACGUCAGCUUCUUGGAAUCCCGUACAAACUGAGUACAAUACGAGGGAGCAGUGCUCAAAGGCGUCGAAGAGUUAGAAACACGUAAGAGUUUAUGGAUAACCUGUUUCCACUUAUGAAAAUGUAAUUAAACCAAAGGGUUAUACCGUUUUAAGGGAGAGGAUGGAUUCUCCUACCUUUCGUUGCUCCACGAAAUCCGAAUUUACGUGACCGCAAGAGCUGAAAAGAAUACGUGCACCGCAAACGAGUAGAGUCCUGCCAGAUGGAUCGCGAUCCAGGCAGAAAUGCGAACCGGGACCACCAACGUGUAUGUUGAAGGAUUCCCUGAGAACGUUUCAUGCUAAUAAGACCGCGAGUCGCGCAAGACCAAACACCAGAUUUAUCUCUCGGCCCGAGUAGCCAGUCACUUUUCGUCCAUUCCAACUUGAUUACCGAAACCAGCUGGAUAGAGAAGGGUUGCGCAUCAGGUACAUCCAAUUUAAUUUACAUGAGAGUAGAUGACAAGUGAGUGGACACUCCAGACUGUGUUCGGUUUAUCCAGUAGGAAACAUACGUGUAAGAUGGUCUAGCUUGGUAUAUCUUUCAAUCAGGCACGAGACUGUUGCACUAACAAAAAGAAAAGCAAAGUAAUGAUAUACUGAUCACCUUAGACAAAUGGUAAGUUAAUUCGCCGACGAUUUCGCGACCGUGGAAUCGGGUUCACGGGACUCACGAUUACGAGUUUAAGGUAGCCGACACUCGAGUAGCGUCGGCGGCGGCAAGCUGGACUCCUCGUAAAAUUAUCGGUAAUAAAAUCGUGAUUUACGUCCAUGUUCCUGGAAAGCGGACCGCUCGAAAUCGUUCCGCUAUCCUGUCCGUUCCCCUGCCGCUUUUAUCUCUUCGUUCAUUCGUGGCCAGGAUGGCUGUGCGAGGACGACAUCGCCAGACACCGAAGACGCUUUGACCUUUCGCGUUCAUUUUCAGAAUAUCCGAAAGAAACGUGUUCAACCUCGUUGCCGCCCUCAAUGGCCUUCUGGCUUCAUUGUAAAGGCAGUUUACGAUCCCAACGUGGAUGGACGUGGGUGAGUGUGGGUGUGCGAGAGUCGCCGUGGGUGGACGUACCUUAGCCUACGAGGUGACAACCGAAUCGACAAACAGACCAGACCCAGUUGCUCUAUAAC